rnacentral:rRNA from 1 species
UCCCUCAGUAAUGGCGAAUGAACAGGGAUAAGCUCAGAAUGGAAAUCGGGGCCUCUGGCCUUGAAUUGUAGUCUCGAGUUGUACUGCCAACGGAGGCGCAGGUGUAAGCCUCUUGGAAAAGAGCAUCAACGAGGGUGAGAGUCCCGUUCGUCAUCUGCAGUCCCCCGUGCACGGUGUACUUUCUAAGAGUCACGUUCCUCGGAAUUGGAGCGCAAAGUGGGUGGUAAAUUUCAUCUCAAGCUAAAUAUUGGUUCGAGACCGAUAGCAAACAAGUACCAUGAGGGAAAGGUGAAAAGGACUUUGAAAAGAGAGUUAAAAGUGCCUGAAAUUGCUGAAAGGGAAGCGAAUGGAACCAGUGUUGCUUGGUGUCUUUUAUCGCGUGCUAAGGUGAUUGCUUGUUGCCUCAACGCAAGUGUUGCAGCGAGUUUUGAUCCGGCCGUGCGUGUGUGAGCACCUUGUGUGUCAACGCCAGUUCACGAUCGAGGAAAACUCCAGGGACAUGGUAGUCCACCUACGGCUGGGCGAAUGUGUUUGGCAGAACUCGUUUAUGAACUGAUUCAUGUGCGUCAGGUUGCAGUCCGGUCUCAGAUUGGCACUUCCCUGGCGCAAAGACGAUGACUAAAUGGUUCUUUUCGACCCGUCUUG